GCAGCAGAAAGGCACUGCGUGACUGUUCACAGCAAGCGCACUUAGAGAGCAAUUACAUACAGCUUAUAUCCCUUUUAGGUCCCCUUCCCCCCUCCCCAGGAAUCCAGCCUCGUGUGUGUUUGUACAUGUAAGUUUACAUCCUUGAGCCUCCUUGAGCAUGAACAGACCUUCCUGUUCCUGUACUCUUAUCUUGGAGUAGAAAGGUCACCCAUCUAUAGGAGUACUCCUUACUCCUGGCACCAUCCCCGGGCUGACAGGCCUGUCUUGCAAGGUCUGUGCAUCAUCGUGGUCAGGAUAUUUACAACCGGUAAGAUAAGACCAUCCCAUCUCUGCUAGGAACUAACAAGGCCAUCCAUUAUGCCUUCAGGAACUGAUAAAGGAGAAGGCUUUGUUUAUACAGCUGGUUUGUGUUAUACAGCUCAAGCUAAUGGAUUUUAGCUAAUUAUCGAAGAAGAAAGAAUUAGGGAAUUUUGGGGCUGGGGCCCGGUUUGGGUGACUGCAUACUGAACAGUCAGGUUUGGGUAACCUGUUCCUUCAACGUAAUGUGUGUGACGUCACACAUACUAUGUGCUGGCAUGUGCAUGUGAAGUUGCACAUCCAUGUUGUGGCAGCAGGCACCCUCAAUCCUGAGGGUGAGUUGGCCCUCCUGGUUGGAAGUGAACCUAAAGAACAUCUAUUCCAACCACCUGCAAUUCAGGAAAAGACAGCUGUCUCACACAGGGAUCAAACUGGCAACCUUGCCGUUAUCAGAACCGUGCUCUAACCAACCGAGCUGUAAAUCCUCCUGCAUCUUAUACUUAAUCUUUCUAUCAGUCCAUGGUUAGGCCUCAGCCCAGGCGCAUAUUGUAGAAUAUCUUGAAUCUGAAACCCAUGUGUUCUUUAAAAAUGUUAAGCAAAUAUGGAGUUCUUCAGAUUUUAUUGGUGUGGGAAAAUACACUUUAAUUAAAGUUUCUAAAGUUGUAGGGGGUGGAAAUCCCAGCAAGUAUAUCAAAUGUACUUUUGCAAAUGUAGCCCUAAGGACAAGUCUAAUUACUUUCUUUCCCACCGUUUUCAUCUUUCUGUUUGUUUUGUUGAUAAUGUUCCACCAUCUGAUGACAUUAACAGAGAGCAAGCCUAGUGACUCAUUCCAUGGCUCAGCUAGGGAGCCUGAUGCUGUUCAGAAUAGAGGGGGGUGUCUCUCUCUCUCUCUCUCUCUCUCUCUCUCUCUCUCUCUCUGUGUGUGUGUGUGUGUGUGAUAGAUUAUCUAUGCUAUUCUGCUGGAACUCCCACUGUGGCAAUCCUUGUUGUGCACCCACAAGAAAAAAUCAAAUAAUACACUAGACCAGAGAUUCCCAACUUCUGUAUUCUUGAGACACCUCUGUUGUGCCAGAUUACCAGUUGGUUGAAACUAAUAUUUGCAAAUUCUCCACAUUUUUAUCCAUUUAGUUAGUCUACUAGGAGCUACAAGGAGCUACUGGGUAUGAUUCCAUGGUCGGAAAUACUCAGUGAGAAGGGAGCCCAAGAAGGAGGGGAGUUUCUAAAAGGAGAAAUAUUGAAGGCCCAAAUGCAGACAUUAACAACAAGAAAGAAAAGUGGGAGGCAUCUCAGGAAACCUGUGUGGCUGCAUAAGGAGCUUACAGAUGAGCUGAGAGUUAAGCAGGGCAUGUAUAAGAAAUGGAAGAAAGGGGAAAUCACAAAGGAGGAGUAUACACAAGUAGUCAACACUUGCAAGUGGGAAAGUCAGGCUGGCUAAAGCUCAGAAUGAGUUUAGGCUUGCAAGAGAGGUUAAAAAUAAUAAAAAGGUUUAUUUGGCUAUGUCCGAAGUAAGAGGAGGAACAAGCAAGUGGCCGUUCCUUUGUGUGGGGAACAUAAAGAAAUGCUAUUGGGUGACAGAGAAAAGUCAGAACUACUCAACACUACUUUGCCUCUGUUUUCACCCCAAAGUGACGCCCAACCUGGUGAUAACAGUACAAAUGAUGUAAGGAGGGAGCUGUAGCCUAAAAUAGGAAAAGAGGCCGUAAGGGGACACCUAGCUACUUUAAAUGAAUUCAAAUUUCCAGGGCCUGAUGAGCUGCAUCCAAGGGUACUAAAGGAGCUUGCGGAGGUAAUUUCAGAGACUUUGUCUAUUAUCUUUGAGAAUUCUUGGAGAACAGGUGAGGUCCCUAUGGACUGGAGGCAGGCAAAUGUUGUCCCUAUCUUCAAAAGGGGGGAAAGGAAGACGCAGGUAACUAUCGACUGGUGAGCUUGACAUCAAUACCAGGGAAGGUCUUAGAACAGAUAAUUCAACAGUCGGUCUGUGAGCAUUUAAAAAAGGAUGUUGUGAUUACUAAAACCCAGCAUGGGUUUCUCAAAAAUAAGUCAUGCCAGACCAAUCUGAUUUCCUUUUUUCCCCCUUUCAAAACUGCUUCCCACCCCAAUCCCUUAUUGAUUACUAUAUAAAAAUUAUACAUUAAAGUAGACAAAUAAUACAGUGGUAACUCAGGUUAAGAACUUAAUUUGUUCUGGAGGUCCGUUCUUAACCUGAAACUGUUCUUAACCUGAGGUACCACUUUAGCUAAUGGGGCCUCUCGCUACCACCGCUUUGCCACCACACGAUUUCUGUUCUCACCCUGAAGCAAAGUUCUUAACCCGAGGUACUAUUUUUAUUUCUGGGUUAGCGGAGUAUGUAACCUGAAGCCUCUGUAACCUGAAGCAUCUGUAACCUGAGGUACCACUGUAACUUACAUAAAGGAUCAAUAAAUGUGUCACCCAUUGUCUAUAAACCUUUAUCAUAAUCACAUGUCAGAUUUUCUUUUGUGAAUGAAAUACAAUGGUUUCAACAAUAGCCAAUAAUCAAAUGUAGAGCUUGGGGUACAUUAAAAAAGGCAUAGGGAAAGCAACUAUUUGAGGAUAAUUGCUCAGAAGAAAAGAGGCUUUUCAGGAAAUACAAUUGACACAAACAAUGAAGAUUUCUUCAUCCCGCUUGUAGGUAGGAUAUCUUAUUCUUUCCAUAGUCUAUUUCUUUUGCUAUCCCUAAGGAUUUAGAAAUAUAGGGAAUCAGGUCAUGGUUAGAUUAAUUUUUAAAGAUUGUCCUCAAGGCCACCUUAGAUGCUUUGAGGUAAAUUUCUAGAAACCAUUCCCUGAUUAUUUCCCCUCUUCUUCCCUAGGUUUUGAAGUCUCCAAAGACUCAGUAGGCUGCUGGUCUCCUGCUGCUGUGAACAGAGGGAGGAGGUUGAUGUGAUCAAAAAUGAGAAGAAGGUGGUAAAAAUAAGACAAAUAUAUGUAAGACCAUAUGACCAGGGGAUGGAUGCCACCAUGUGCUUCUACCAACGGGGAGUGCUGAUCUUUGUUCAUGAAGAACAGAGAGAUCAGAGAGAAUCUGGAUCACAGGGGUGGGGAGGCAGCUCCCUAAUUCAAGAAGAGUUCAGGGAUGGGAUGAGGAAGGGAGAAUAACGUAAGCCACCUUGAGAUCGUGGCAGAAAGAUGGGUUAUCAACAUAAUAAUAAAUGGAAAUACUAAGAAUUGUUUCUCUUCUUUUCUCUGGACUCCCCCCGCCUUUGCCCAG